UCCUUCAUCGCUCAAUUGGAGAAGCCGUCUUUCUCACCGAUUCGUCAGCUGAUGAUGGUGGUGUUUAGGGUUGGAGAAACGACGAUGGUGGUGAGCAGUGGUCACGGGAGAUGAGGUGGAGGUGGGUAGCGGCGAUGGAGGUGGAGGUGGGUGGUGAGGGCUGAUGGUGGUGGAGGUGGGUGAUGGCGGCUGAUGGUAGUUUAGGCGGGAAAGGUUUUUUUUUCUGCAGGGGUAAGGUUUGCAAGAACUAUUUAACACCGGCGGAUUAUAUCUCUAUGAAAGACACAUUGGGUCACAAUCUGGUGGAAUGGACCAGGCAUAUCCAUUAUGGCCAAAACUAGGUUUGCUAAGCUCAUAGAUUUCAACUUAAUUCAUGCAAUAGAUGUGCAACUUCCAGCCGGCACCUGGCAGUUCUUUUGUGAUAGCUCAUUUGUUGGCUGAAUCGCAGAAAGUGGUAGCUGCAGUAACCGACUAUAAUAUUCCGGUUGUUGAGUGGCAUUUAACUUCUGGCUUGAUAUCGGAGGUGGAACCGCCGAGUCCGAUGAGAUGCUUGAUUGGGUCUUUAAAGUGAGUUUUCCAAUAACAAUCUUUGUGGAUGGUCCUUUCACAACGCUGGUGGCGGUAGAGACGUAGUUGGCGACAACUAGAUUAGGUAUGCAUGUCAUCCCUUCUUAAGCAAGCCGAUUUAAGCCGUAGUCAGUUACGACGACACAAGUGGUUGCGCGGAUAGGUAUUCAGCCGUUGCAGAUAUGUUCUCAUAUUCUAUACCUUGGCAUGGCAUUCGAGGUGGUUUGGGGUGUUAUGCUAAUGGAGUGUCACUCCUUUUAUAUAAAGGCCUGCAUAACUGGCUUUGUUUUCGGUUGGUAAGCGCUCGGUUAGCGGCCUUUGUGGAUUAGGUUCUCAUAUUCUGUGCAUGAUGGUCAGCACACUUUGACUUUGUGGGUUUCAUUUUGUUCACGAAGUUUACCGGUUACCGGUACAAGUCUUUUCGUAGUUUGAGGUAAGAGGUUUUAUGUAUAUGCUUUGGUUUGAUUAUCUAGCCAUAUACGGAAAACAAUAAUUAGUCAACACCUUAAUUCUGUUGCUUCAUAUUUGUAUUUUCUUAGUGAUUAUCAUUUGGUUUUUCUUCUAACGUCACUUUAGUAUGUGGUUUAUAGCUUUUUGCAUUUUCCUCUGUUGUUCUUCAAAAAGGUUUUGCUGCUUUUGAAAUACAUUUUUUCAAAUUGAUUUACGACUACAAGUAUGUAGACAGUGGUGGAGCAACAAAUGAAUCAUAAGAGACCGGUUUUUAUGGAUGAUUCACUGAGUCAUUGCAUUAUUAUUAGAUGCCUUUUUUACUCGCUUGAAAAUAGCGUUGGUGUUAUUUUGCUGGCGAGUGGUCACUAUAAAGUUAUGUUAGAGGUGUAUUUGGGGUAUUAGGUCUGUAACGGUGGCGGCGUCUGCAAAAAAACUACACUUAUUCACCUAAUUCAAAAGUUGGUCAACCGCUUACGGUAAUCUCAUUAAGCUAAAGCCUAAACUACAUAUCGGUAAUUUUAAUAUCAUACUGGGUUUGUAUAUAUAUAGCAAGAUUAUGUCGGCCGAAGUCGCUGGCGAUGGUAGCAGUGGUGGUGUUAAAGUUUCAUCCGAGAUUAUACAUUUGGCAAACAUGAUACUUGAUCGUAGAUAUUGCAGCUAUAGUGGAUAAUUGUUGAUCUUGAUCAUGCUUGCUCUGCAUAUUCAUACGUAUUUGGUUCCCUUUAUAGGACACCCUUGGUUUGUUGCAUGCUUUUUGUUAAUAAAAUAAAUCUCAUUUCUGUUGCUGAAGUUUAAAAUGGUAGUUAAUGCUAAAUCAUGUCGGCUCAGAUGCUGUCAAGUUUAUGGUGAACCAUUCUUCUGCACAAGCCAUGUUUUGGUGCAACAAACACUGCAUAGUGUCUUUGCAAUUGAAGGUGAAGAUGACUUUUCACAAGUUAGAAAGGACGACUUUCCGCUACCGAAGGUGCUUGCCGGAGCUCUGAAAGCUCGGAAGAAUGACAUUCCUGUGAAGGGACGUGAAGGUAUAGAGUUAUCGGAUGGAGAUGGGUUGCUUUUUCCUUAAAUGAUUAGGUACAGGUACGGUUAUGUUACCCCGAGUGAUGUGCCUGAAUUGCUUGAUAAUCACAUUGUAAAGGGUGAAAUCAUUGAUAGGAUUUGGAGGGGCCGAAUGGGAGUUCCUGUGGUCAAGAAAGCUGAAAAAGCAAUUGAACAGUCCCAAACGGAAAUGACGUAAAAGUCUCUGAAGCGGACCACCACGCAAGCAGCACCAUAGAAGAGAGAGAGAGAAAGACAAAGAAAACAAUGGAGGGUUUUGUCAAGGUGCCAAUGGGUUCUCAUGUUGCAGAGAUGAAACACCUGAAACCGAAACAAAAAAAGAAGUAAAAUAAAGUAAGUGCGUUUAACAUGUUGAGAAAGAAAUGGGAAAAACAUGAUGUUGUUAUAGUUGCUGCUGUCGUUGGCGCUGUGGUAAUGGUUGCUGUGGCCUAUAGCUUUUAUAGAAGGUUAUAUAUAUAUUUGAAAUGUGGUUUCCAAUCUCUCUGUUUGAAACUGGUGUGUUUGGAGUAUGCUGGUCACAUGACGAAUGCAUUUUCAUUUGAAAACCUAGACUACUAGAAGAAAGCUGUGAUUUAGCCUGAUGCUAUGGCACAUACAGGAUUAACAUUUGAAUCAUCUGGUGACUCCAUAUGUCAGUUGUUUGUCUGCUGGAGUUUCUCAUGUGGAAUCUUUGUUUCUCAACCUUUUCUUCUUUCAGGUACAUACAUAUUCUUCUUAUGUGAAUUGUUAAUGUUCAUCAAUAUGCAAUAGGCAAGGUUUCCUAAGAACAUGUCAACUUUAGGAUCUUAAAUUACCUUUGUUUUAGCGGCCACAAUAGAUUCAAAAUCAGCAGGUAGUGAUAUAUAUUGAGCCUUCAUACUAAACAAUUGUAGUACCUACGAAGUUUUAACACUUUAAGGUCAAACAAAAAAUGAAAGGAGACACCUUUUGGUGGUUCCCGACAGCAUACUGCGGCGACACUUGCAACUUGGCGCAUCACGACGGUGUUACUCUCUGUCUAUUCUCCGGCUCUGUCUCGACGUACUUGCUAGAAACCGAAACAGAAGAGGAAGAAAACGGCCGAACAAUUUCCGAUUCUGAAUCUACAGUUUCCGAUAAAUUUCAUCCCGUGACAAUUCGAUGGACGAUCAUCACGUGCUCUCUCUCCGAUAAAGCUUUUAAAUCGCUAGAUGAGGUCUCUAAUGGGGCUAGAGGUCUUAUUCUUGCAAUGCAUAAUCUUGAAUCAGGUAAAGUUUAAAACUUGCACUGAUUUAUUAUUAGAAAUAGUAUUUUUGGGUCUUGUAGGUGAAAUUUGCUUAGGGGAUUUGGAAAGCCAGAUUAAUGUGGUUGAGGUAAUGAUCUUCUCUCCACUACCUAUUUUUUUCUAAGUAUCGUUAUGUGAAUCUGUGUGGGUUUGAAUGUUUAACUAUGCAAAACUGGCGAGUCGGGUUCGGUCAGGGGUCAGAACGGGUUUGGGUUAGAAUGGCUCGGUCAAAACGGGUUAUGACAAAAAUAGGUUUGAGUCAACACAAUUUAUGACCAAAAUAGAUCCGAGUCAGCCUUAAUGCAGGUGAAUGAUCAUAAUCAUAAAGUCAUAAUAUGAUACAAUCAUUAUGUUUUAUAGCUAUUUUGUUAUGAGUAUGGAGAUUGAUUUUGUUUGUGAUGGGCAUAUUAUGGUGGCGGAGCUCCUCCUCCAUUAUUUCCGUCCCCAAGUCAUCAUCAUAAUCGUAUGUAGUUAGUUGUUUGUUAGAUUUAUGAAUAUAUUGAUGUACGCUUAUGUAACCUAUUUCAGCAUCCUAUGAUUCCACCAUUUCCAGUUCCUUAUCCAACAAUUUUCCCCACCAUAAGUUUAUGCUCAUUUUGGCACACCUGUGAUAGUCCGCAUAGCAUCAAGUUUAAGAAAUGACAGUACCACUACUCAAAGGUGUAUAUUCAUCAUACAUAUUCUAAAAUGGUUUUUAAAGUUUAAUUUAAUAUAACCACUGUUUUUUUCUUUUUCAAAUCAUGCUAAUUUAAUUAUAAAACUUCAAUAUUAACAAUGCUAAGAGUGAGAAUCAUGGUUUUUAGAUGGUAUUCAAGGGUUUCCUGAAGGUGCUCUUAGACAUAUAGUCUUUAACCGCAUCUGGUGGUGCUUAUAGGUAUUAAUAUCAUGAUUUUUAGGUAGCCUUUGGUAUGACGUAACGGAGAAGGGAAUGGAAUAACCCAUUUAAGGGUAAUAAAAAUAUGGAAUGUUUGGUUGUUGAAUGGAAUGAAAUCAAGUAUUACCUAAGGAAUCACUUUGUUAAUAAGUAAUUUAUGCAAUAUGUUACUUUUGUAUUUAUAUUAUUUAUUAUUUAUACACUUUGUGAUAAUGUAAAUUAAAUUUUCCGACCCGCGAAGUUCGCGGGUGAUAACCUAGUUUAAUCUAUAAGUAAGAAGCGUUUUAUAUAUUUGUUUAUGAAUAUGAAUUGCUUGUAAAUUAAAGGAUUUGAAUCUAACUAAUGCUUGGCAGUUGGCACGUAUAUUUUCGUUAGAAAUAUUCGAAUUCGUUACAGGAAUUAAAAAAUUGAAUUGAUUAUAAUUAGAACGUGUCAAAAUAAAUGGAAUUUUCAUAAUUGAAAGAUGUGACACGUUAAUUGGCUAAAUUUCUUAUAUUUUAUUUGGAAAUUUGUUUAAAAAAAAAAGUUGAAAUGUGGUGGUGAAUGAUGGAGGGGGAAAUUCUCUUCAUUUCAUUACUUUCCUUCAUUGUUUGGGAAAAAAAAAUUAAAUUCAUUCACUUCAGAAAGAAAAAAAUAAAAAAGAGUAGUUUGAAGAAAUUAAAUCGUUUUUAGAAAAACCAUUCCAAUUCUCUUCACAAUCCAAACAAAUAUUAUCCUUUGGAUUUUCAUAUUCUGAUUUCAUAGAAUUUAUUAUGGUUAGCGAUAGAGAACGGUACGCCAUAUACACAAACAAAUAAUGAGAUUUAGCAUCACUUAUGUGGUGGCAAAAGUGAUGGGUUAGGCAGGUUUGGGUUAUCAGUUAGGAUGAGUAUAGGUUAGGAUAGGUUUGGACUAGGAUGAGUUUUUUAAGAAAAAUGUUAGGAUGG